rnacentral:piRNA from 1 species
CAGUUUGUAAAAUUUGGCUCAUUGGUU